rnacentral:rRNA from 1 species
UUGUUGAACCCUGCACAGCAGAACGACCCGUGAACUCGUAAAAUACAAUCGGGGGGCGAGGGGCCAACCCGAACCCCCCUCGGCGGGUGGGCAUGCGACUCGGGCUUCGCUGGCCGAUGCCCGCCGCCGCUGCCUUCCCCGCCGCACAAACGAAACCCCGGCGCAAACCGCGCCAAGGAACUCGAACGGAUGAAGCAUUGCCCCGGCGCCCCAGAGAUGGUGCGCGCCGGGGGCUCUGCGUCGUAUUCUGUAUAUGUCAAAACGACUCUCGGCAACGGAUAUCUCGGCUCUCGCAUCGAUGAAGAACGUAGCGAAAUGCGAUACUUGGUGUGAAUUGCAGAAUCCCGUGAACCAUCGAGUCUUUGAACGCAAGUUGCGCCCGAAGCCAUCAGGCCGAGGGCACGUCUGCCUGGGCGUCACACAACGUUGCCCCCCCACCCCAAGCCUCGUCCUCGAGGAGGGCGGGGGGGCGGAUGCUGGCCUCCCGUGCGCCCCGGUUCGCGGCUGGCCCAAAUGCGAGCACUCGGCGACGAGCGCCGCGGCAAUCGGUGGUUGUCCAACCCUCGGUGUCACGCCGCGCGCGCGAGCCGCCCGUGUGUGCCCGUCGACCCUCAAUGCGCCGCACACGCGGCGUUUACGAUGCGACCCCAGGUCAGGCGGGGCUACCCGCUGAGUUUAA